UACGGGGGGGGCAAGCGUUGUUCGGAAUUACUGGGCGUAAAGGGCUCGUAGGCGGCCAACUAAGUCAGACGUGAAAUCCCUCGGCUUAACCGGGGAACUGCGUCUGAUACUGGAUGGCUUGAGUGCAGGAGAGGAACGCGGAAUUCCAGGUGUAGCGGUGAAAUGCGUAGAUAUCUGGAGGAACACCGGUGGCGAAGGCGGCGUUCUGGACUGCUACUGACACUGAGGAACGAAAGCCAGGGGAGCAAACGGG
rnacentral:rRNA from 1 species